CAAUAGCGUAUAUUUAAGUUGUUGCAGUUAAAAAGCUCGUAGUUGGAUUUCGGUUAAGAGCGACCGGUCCGCCGUUUGGUGUGCACUGGUUGGUUUUAACUUCCUGUAGAGGACGUGCUCUGGGUUUAACGACCUGGACUCGGAGUCUACGUGGUUACUUUGAAAAAAUUAGAGUGUUCAAAGCGGGCUUACGCUUGAAUAUUUCAGCAUGGAAUAACACUAUAGGACUCCAGUCCUAUUUCGUUGGUCUCGGGACGGGAGUAAUGAUUAAGAGGAACAGUUGGGGGCAUUCGUAUUUCAUUGUCAGAGGUGAAAUUCUUGGAUUUAUGAAAGACGAACUUCUGCGAAAGCAUUUGCCAAGGAUGUUUUCAUUAA
rnacentral:rRNA from 1 species